rnacentral:rRNA from 1 species
UACGUAGGCAGCGAGCGUUGUUCGGAGUUACUGGGCGUAAAGGUGUGUAGGCGGUUGUUUAAGUUUGGUGUGAAAUCUCCCGGCUCAACUGGGAGGGUGCGCCGAAUACUGAAUGACUUUCGAGUGCGGGAGAGGAGAGUGGAAUUCCUGGUGUAGCGGUGAAAAUGCGUAGAUUAAUCAGGAGGAACACCCGGUGGGCGAAAGGGCGGGGUCUCUUGGGGCCAUACUGACUGAGGAGCGAAAAGCGUGGGGGAGCA